AACAAAGUUGGUGGCACAGUUUUAAUUCCAGAGUAAGACUGAGAACACGUGAGGAGAACAGCUCUGCCGACACCAAGACCUCCUUUGUAGCUUGUUGAGACUGAGUGAAUCUUCUGUUCAUCUUGAAUGAAAGCUGGUACAGAAAAUUGGACACAUUUACCAGGUGGAAUCCAAAUAAUGCACAUGAGAAAAACUGAGCACAUAUGAUUGUGGAACAGAAACAGAUUCUACUUACAGGCUAUGAAAGGACUGCCUUGAGGAAAGUGAAGAAUAUUGAUUAUUACCUUUUGUGGACUGUCUUCUCCAAUGGAACUGGUAAUGGAUAAUAGUAUGAAGGAAGAUCUACAUAUCCUAGACUUUGUAAAAAAA